GAUUUUUUGGCUAUUGAACGUGUCAGCAUCGAAAACUUCUGGAAAUUUAAUUUGUUUCUUCGAAUUGGAUUCAAUCGCUGAAUAUUUAUGGCCUUGUUCUGUUACUCCAGGGGAAUAAUAAUCUUUUAAGUGAAAAUAUAUUAAUCUUUUCAUUUUCAACUCGAUCAAAGAGAAUCUAGGUGAAUAGUCCCCUUGCUUUGUUGCAUCGAAGAAAUAAUUUAUUUCUCCAGCUGCCACGAUUAGUUCCACUCGACAGUUUCUAGUUCUUGCAAAGGAACCUUUGAAAGAUUGUGAAUACCCUUUGUAUAAAAUGACCAAGUCCGUUAAUAUCUUAUUAAUUCUGUCGAAGAAGUUAAAAGAUUCAUGAAAAAAAGUUCUUUCGAUAUCUCACAAUAAUUGAAUCACAAUUGAUGAGAAGGAAAUAAGAGAAAAAUAAAGGAAUUGAAGAAUCGUAUUAUUAAGUCAUAUUAUUAUUCUAUCAAUGUAUGACGAUUAUACAGAAGCCCUUAUUUUAUGGACAGCCGAGCAGAUCUUGGAGAGUCGAAAAUGAAAAGGGCGUGAAGAAAGAAACACAACAAUAAUGGUAGAGUGACCAAGUUGCUACGGCGUCAAGUCAACCGAUACGUGGGCGGUGCAAAAAUGGAGAAUCGAAACGCUGCGUUGGCCCUCUGUCUCGAAACCAGAGAGAAUGAUCGACAUCAAAGGCAAUCACGCAGAUGAUGACGCGACUCCAGCCAGCAGCUGCUUGCUCGCGUCGAUGAUCAUCGCCCUCGGGUUUCAGGCGUGCCUCUGUCGUCUCUUGUCACGACGUCUCCGAUCGUGUUGGAAUCUCGUUUCCAAAGAAUUCCUCGGUCCUUUCGUAUAACUACGUACGAAUCGAUGAUUAUAACGCGAUGGCCUCCUCCUGGUUUCACUCGAUACGAAAUUCUGCGAGUUUCUUGAGCAACGGGUGAAAUUUUGAUGAGGUAUUCACGAGAGUAAUAAAGUUAUUUGGAGAUUAAAUUGAAUGAAUAUUAUGAAUGAUUAAUGAGCGAAUAUUUUUAUUAACUUAUCGUUAUUUAUCAAGAUUCAAUUUUCAUAAAAUUAAAAUGAAAAAAAAAAGAAUUAAAAAUUAUUAUUUCAAAGCUUUAAAAAUCAUCAUGGAAAAUUUUCUUUAUUAACACUUGAUUAAGGAAUAUAAUUUACGUGUCAAUGAAGAUGGAUAAUGAAUAAUAGCAAUUAUUUCGAUAAAUUACAGUUUCCUCUUAUAUAUGUUAUUUUUCUCAAUGUACAAAAAAAAAAAAAA